AGAAACAAACUGGGAACGGUAUAUUAAGCAAGGCUGAGCAGCAGUGGUUAUUUUCCAGUUGUUCUCUGCUUGCUUUGUCUCAAGCCAUAGCAUCUGAGAAGCAAAGGAAGCUGCUUUUCCGUCAAAAGAUCAUGGCUCCUGGACUUCUUUUGUGGAUUUCUUUGCUGUUGAACCUCUCUGCUGGCUUUUCAACUCCAACAGGAGGUCAAUAUCAAUCCCUACCAGAUACUCAGAACCCACUGGAUGAAGAAUUCUUUAAUGCUAUGGCCACUGGGGAUGUUGUGGAUAACAAGCCAAGUAGUCCUGUCAUAGUAUAGUACAACUGGCCUUUGGUCUCUGCUAACCAAAACCAGCCAGAAUCCCAAACUAGACCAGUGAUUGCUAAACCUUCUCAAAGUGUUUCAUCCC